GCUGGAUUCCAUGACUGGCAAAGUAGUAACAAAGAUUGAGACUAAAAGUUUUGCCUUCCUGCUAGAGAGUGAAAACUCUGUGUGGUUAGUUUGCACUUUGAUUCUAUCUGAAGAAAAAGACAUAUGUAAGACCAAAAGAUGCAUAAUUAUAUCAUCCCAUGUAUUCACUAUAGCUCAUAAUAAAUUGUAAGCCUCACAUUUUCCACCAAAGAUGAAUUAACUAACCAUGAUUCAAUUUUACCACUGAAUAUUUACAGUCCAGUAAGUUAUAUUGACACAAAAUUGGUACUUAGGACAGUCUAGGAUCUUCCAUCUAUACAGGAAGCAUGUGACAUGGCACAGUCAAACUCGUCAUAUAUCUGUUAACCAUACUGUCUGUAAAAGGCAGAAGCCUCACACAGCCCGGUAACUUUGCUAGUACCUCUUGAGUGCAAGGUGGAGAAUUAAGAUCUGGAUUUGAGACAGAGCACAGAACAUUUCACUCAGGGGAAAGAGCUAUGAACAUGCUGACUGCCAGCCUGCUGAGGGCAGUCAUAACCUCCAUCUGUGUUGGAUCCAGCAUGGCUCAGAAGGUAACUCAAGCUCAGACUGAAAUUUCUGUGGUGGAGAAGGAGGAUGUGACCUUGGACUGUGUGUAUGAAACCCGUGAUACUACUUAUUACUUAUUCUGGUACAAGCAACCACCAAGUGGAGAAUUGGUUUUCCUUAUUCGUCAGAACUCUUUUGAUGAGCAAAAUGAAAUAAAUGGUCGGUAUUCUUCGAACUUCCAGAAAUCCACCAGUUCCUUUAACCUCACCAUCAUAGCCUCACAGGUUGUGGACUCAGCAGUAUACUUCUGUGCUCUGAAUGAAGCCACAGUGAGAUGGGUGUUGGUGGGAGCCCUACAAAAACCUCAACAAGAGACAGGGCUCCUGGGGAGGGACUCCGUCACAGACAGGAAGAAGCAAGUUGGGGCUGUGUCAGCACAGGUGGUUUGGCAAGGAAACCUGAGUUCAAUUCAUGUACAGUGUCUAGAUAUAUCAUUUAUUAGAAGUAUGGGUGUCUUCUAUUCUUUAGAAUAGAUUGAGACAGAAUAUAUAGCACCUAUUUUUAUAUCAUAUAUAGAAUUAUGCAACAAAAAGUGCAAAAACAAAAUAUAUUAAUCUCGUGUUGGUUUUAUUGAGGGUGGGAAACUAUCCAAUUAUCUUCAGACCAAAUGGAUGAUUCCAUUCAUAAGCUGUUACGUUUUCAGAAUGAUUCAUACAUUUAUGCAUUAAUUAUUAUGUAGAAUGCUUUAAUCCAAGUGUAAUAGAAAUGCCUUCCAUUGAUUUUUCUUAAUAAUGGUAUCAUUACUAAAUGAGGUAGAAAAAUUAAAUUUAGACUUCUUUCCAUAAUCAUACCAGCAACCUCUUAUACAUCAGAAUAGAUGUGAAAUGUUCCUCAAAUUUCCUUUCUCUGGUUCCUCUCUUUUUGUGACAUGAUUAUGAUAUUUUAAAAGUAUCUAAGUAUUUUGCUUUCAUUUAGAGGCUGCCUAUGAAGAGAGAUGUGUAAGGUGGGAAUAUGUCCUAACCUAUUGAAUAUCUUGCCUUCACCCUUUCCCCUUUGAGUUCUGGCCAGUUUGAAGCUGAGAAGUGGUUAGGGCCAGAAUUACAACUGCUAUGGCAACCAGAGCCCGGAUGGUGUGUCCAGUGUCUACUUCCUGUCUAAACAUGUAUUUUCCUUGGAUAUUACAACAGGUGCUCAGGAACAGGGAUUUUUAUUUCUUUUGCUCCACACAAGUUUUUAGAAACCUGAGUUUUUAACAUUAAAAGAAAACAGAUAUCACAUUAAAAACUGGAUUUCUAGCUUAGCUAUAAACAUGGGAAGAUCUGGGAAACACUCCACUCCCUGGCGUAGAGGUCAAAAGUUCUCUUUGGACACAUAAUGGCUUUGAUGUAUAUGUAUUUUAUUUUUAAAAUUUACAAAAAUUUACCAUUCAUUUCACAGUAUGAACUAAUUUAAAAGUAAAAAUUUAAAUUAUUAGUUACAAGACAUAAACUCAUCUUCAAGACAAACAAAUCUGAAAUACCAUCUCAUGAAACUACACCUGUUUUUCCCCCAUGAUUUCAUGUACCAUGGGUAUAUUCCAGCUUGAGAAACUUAAGCAUAGUUUAUUCCUAAUUUAGGAGGUAUUUUUAGCUAUAGUAAGCAUUGGAGAAACAUUAGUUAAUAAGACAGACAUGGUUCCUGCCUUUAUGAAGGCUGUGUUCUAGGGGGCUAUAUCCAGUAUAGAAUGGUAGGCAGAGGGAAUUAAAGUUUUACGCAAACAACCUAUGUGACCUUGAGAAAGUUAUAACUCCCCUGAACCUGUUCUCUCAUUUGUAAAAUGUAGAGAUUUAAUUAGGCAGUUCCAAAAUUUUACUAGCCUCACAAGAGCACAUAGUCCACUACCUUUUUGAGUUCCUAACGCUUAUUAGCUGCCCUUCUUUUUUGCGAAAGGGCAAUUAGUUGUUAUAGACAUAUCCAUACUGUUCCACAUGUUGCAUGAUAAUGUAACAGUAGUAACAAGAAGCCAGAGGAAGCAGGCAGAGAGGAGAGUGGCUUGUGAAGUCACCUGCUUUCCAUACACAGAAACUACUAUUCUAUGUAGCCAGGCAGCAGAAGAAGAGGGAGAGGAAAAGGAGGAGAUGGAAGGAGAGGGAGAAAAGAAAGA